AUUGCAUUAUUCAUUGUGAUAUAAAGCCUGAAAAUAUUCUCUUGGAUGAGUUACAAUGCCACGAUAUCUGAUUUUGGCCUUGCAAAACUCAUAAACCCUUGGUGAGAGUUAGAGGAACAACAGGAUAUUUGGGACCAGAGUGGCUCGCAAAUCUUCCUGUAACAUCAAUAUCAGAUGUUUACAGCUAAGGAAUGGUUCUGCUUGAAUUGGUGAGUGGGUGGGAGAA
rnacentral:misc_RNA from 1 species